GUGCUCUUGAUUUGGCAGCACAAAUACUAAAAUUAGAAUGACAAAAAGAUUAGCAUGGUCCCUGCAAAAUUGUAAAGAAUUCCCAAUUUCU
rnacentral:snRNA from 1 species